rnacentral:rRNA from 1 species
GAUGAACGCUGGCGGCAUGCCUAAUACAUGCAAGUCGAACGAGAGGAAGGAAAGCUUGCUUUUCUGAAUCUAGUGGCGAACGGGUGAGUAACACGUAGGUAACCUGCCCAUGUGCCCGGGAUAACUUCUGGAAACGGAUGCUAAAACCGGAUAGGUAACAGACAAGCAUUUGACUGCUAUUAAAGUGGCUAAGGCCAUGAACAUGGAUGGACUUGCGGUGCAUUAGUUAGUUGGUGAGGUAACGGCCCACCAAGGCGACGAUGCAUAGCCGGCCUGAGAGGGCGGACGGCCACAUUGGGACUGAGACACGGCCCAAACUCCUACGGGAGGCAGCAGUAGGGAAUUUUCGUCAAUGGGGGGAACCCUGAACGAGCAAUGCCGCGUGAGUGAGGAAGGUCUUCGGAUCGUAAAGCUCUGUUGUAAGAGAAAAACGACAUUCAUAGGGAAUGAUGAGUGAGUGAUGGUAUCUUACCAGAAAGUCACGGCUAACUACGUGCCAGCAGCCGCCGUAAAAC